UGCAGGCGAUAUAGAAAUGUAGUUUUAUAGGUGCUCGUGGAAUGUAGCUUCUGUAGAUGGGGGAGGGGUGAGACAUUAUACAAACGGUCACAAAAUUCUUGUAGCAUGUAAUAUACUUAAGACUAAUGAAUAUAGGGGGUCUUGUAAAGAAGUAGUUCUAAAGAAAAUAGUUUAAGCUAGGAAAAAACUAUGGAGUGUUGUAGCUGACCACAAAAGAAGAAAUAAGGGCGUUUUCACAAUAAAGCUUAUAGUAACAGAACAAACAAAGAAUAAGGAAUGCAGACAUCCAGGGACGGCUUGGUACAAAGAUAAGGAAAUUGAAAAACAAGUGAGGUAACCGACUUGUGAUAGGACCAGAGAGAAAAGGGGGGCGUGUUUCAGCAAUUCAUAAACUAGACAAAGAAAAGCUACAUGCUCUGUUACGCGCGCAUUUCUACUGGACCAUAGAAGCGCCAGGAUUUGCAAAUUCGCAAUAAAUUGUCCUUGUUUCCAAGGCCUUGUCUCCAGCUGAUUUAUAAAUGAACAGAAGGCUGGACCAUUUGUUAUAAUCUUCUACACGUUGAGUCUGUCGGCACCAGUUCAGACAUAUCAUGGAUCACAAAGAGAGCAUCAGAAGGAAGUUCCUAGAGAUGCACUUGGUGCAAGUAAAGACCAAUAAAUUGAAGAGACUGCAGAAGCAAUCUAAAUGAAAGGGCAAGCCCAGAUAUCCAAGGGUGCAACCUGACCAGGCAGUAGAGGAACAGUAAAAACAAAGUAAUGGUGAAGACACAGCACAAUCACUUUAAUUCACACCUGUACCAGUUCAGAAACUGACACGGAUGUUUCUUAGUGGAAAAUGAGAGCUGAAUUUGCCUGUCGUAAGAUACUGAGCAUAAGUGGUCUGCAACCAUGGUAGGGGGCAUGAAUAGCUUAGUCUCAAGCACAAUGAGAUCACCCAUAAGAUUCCAGCUGCAGAAGACUUAGAUGAGCACUUCAGUGGGCAGCAGACAGAAGAUGUUUGAUGUCUAUGAAUAAUGAAAUGCUCAGUACAUUGAAAGUUUUGUUGGAAAGCUUUCAGUCAACAACACAGAGAAUUGAGGAUUAUGAUAUCACCUUGGCAAAGCCUUUUACACAUUGUCAGUGGUCAGCUAAAUCCACAGAUUUGUGACACCAACCAUGAUACAAUAUGAUAUGACUGAUGAUGUAGCUUCCAUUACAGAACUAGCAGGAGCCACUCAAUGUUUGAGUUAUGCAGAAGAGGUACAAUCUACUGUCAUGCAACAGCAGUUUGCUGCCUGCAUGGCUGUGGAUUAUAAUGUCUUAAAGAGGUUUUCAGGGUGCUACAGCAAUCCAGCAAAUGGAUGGAUUCUGUUGUCCAGAGAAGCUACCUCAGGGCAGUGGCAGUGGCUCCAGGCUGCGUGAACCUGCUGUCUUGACUCAGGAAAAGAAGCAUUCAGCCUCCAACUCGAAGUGCUCUGGCCUUGUUCAAGGAGAGCAUGCCAGCAAAAGCUCCAGGCACACCUAAAAAUGAGGUAGCAAUCUAGUGAAGUUACAACACAUUAUUAUGUGGAUGCAAAACAGAAUUGACAGCAUUAAGUGGUCCAACAGAUCAGAUCAGAAUCUGUAGUCCUGUGAUGUGACUCAUGAUGACCGAAUUAAUUACUAAUUGAAAGAGGAAGAUCCAGAAGUAUUUCCAUCCUCAGUGAUGGGGAAUCUAGUAAAACAAUUUAACAUACAAAAAUAAACAUUUAUAACCAGCUUCAGCCAGAUGUACCAAGUGGAUUUCUCUUAAUAUCUCCAGCAUCGCAGAAUGUAGUCUUCAGCCAACUCAAUAUUGCAUAAUAGGUGAAUGCAUUGAACACAGCAAAGCCUUUGGGCCUCAUUAACAUCCUGACUGCAGUUGUGUUCCAGGCCUACAUACACCCUUAGCCAAGCUGUUCUAGUAAAGCUAAAAUAUCAGGAAAUGUGGAAAAUUACCCAAA